rnacentral:rRNA from 1 species
UACGAAGGGUGCAAACGUUGCUCGGAAUUAUUGGGCGUAAAGCGCACGUAGGCGGCAUUGCAAGUCGGAUGUGAAAUCCCUCGGCUUAACCAAGGAAGUGCAUCCGAAACUGCAGUGCUUGAGUACUUAAGAGGAUCGCGGAAUUCCCGGUGUAGAGGUGAAAUUCGUAGAUAUCGAGAGGAACACCGGUGGCGAAGGCGGCCUUCUGGACAGUGACUGACGCUGAGAACGCGAAAGCGUGGGGAGCGAACAGG